GUAUAGCCAGUGAUGGAACAUACCAGGCAGUUACAUGUAGUUCAUAAGAUUCUACUUCUGGUAGUUACUUUUACUUUUGCAUAUACCUUUUUGCUCAUAUAUAUUGGGAGUGAUAACUAAACACUAGUUUUUGUAUUUUUGAAACUGUAAAUGUUUGAAUAAUUUAAGUAAUUUGUAUAGAUUUAAAUAAUUUAUGAAUUGUGAUUCAUAAUUUCUUAGAAAUUAAGAUCUCUGGCUUGAUUUUUUUUCAUGUAAAUUCUAAUGGCUACUACUUAGUAAGUCUGGGUGAGACUAAGCUUUAGUGACAGGUCGACCAAGUUAUCAUUCCAAAAGAAUAAUCAAAAGCAAAUUCUUAGUAUUAAACACAAAAAAGUUAUCCCUUUCCUGUGGAUGGAAGGCAUAGAUUAACCCUAGCUACCUACUAUAACUGGAGUUCUCUUUAAGUUGCUGCCCUCCCACAGGCAGCAUUUGUUUAUUUGGUUCUUAUGUUUCAAAGCUGCUAGUUUCAAGCUCCAUUCUGAGCCACCAGUCUGUAGGGAGGUAAAUGUGAGAUAAAUAUUGGAAUAUGGUAUUAUGAAUUUAGACUGGUAUGAGGAUAAUUUUGUUUCAUCCAGCCUACCCUGGGGAUUUUGCAAUGUUUAGAGACAUCUUUGAUUGUCACAACUGUGUGUUGGGUAUCUAGUGAGUUGAUGC
rnacentral:lncRNA from 1 species